AUAUGCUAAUAGUUGUUUGCAAGAGUAGGGAAUACCAUUGUAGGUGAACCAAAUACUGUUUGAAAAUAAAAAAUCGGAAUGCACUGAGUCACAGUUCCAAAAAAGGAAACAAAUAAUAAUUUAACAACAGUAUAAGUUAUAGAAUAGUAAUGCAUAUAUCACAUAGUCGAAGUCAGUCUCAGCAGUAAGAGAUUUUAACAUAUACUGUUGCAAUGCUGCAUAAUUGCUAUCCUUAACCUUAUUUACACUUACAUAUAUCAUAUAGACGCAUAAAAAUAAAUUCCAAAAUAAAUGCAUAUAUGUCCAUUUACCAUCAGCUAAGUGAAACAUAAUCUCCUGGAGAUAAACCAAAAAGUUAAAAAAAAAAAAAAAAAAGAUGUUAAAAUGGAAUAAUAAAAAAAAAAAUAAUGUGCACCAAAAUAAUAAAAAAAAGUCCAGUGUUGGCUAAUGUCUAAGGCUGUUAGCCACGAAAUAAACAAACAGACAGGGAAGAACUUGCCCAAUUCUGUGAGGUGUAUGAAAUAAGAUGUGUAGGACAUCCACAGAUUUUUAAGGGAUAUGGUAAUAAGCCAUGUAUUAGUGUUCUGGAGAUCCCAUGAUUGCUGAAUUUGCAUGUGUUUUAUGUUGUUGUAGUAAAAUUAUUUCUUUUUCCAUUUGUUUCCUUUUUUGGAAUAUGUCAUUCAACUCAAUGUAUUCUAUCUGUUUUUGUAUUUUUAUAUAGCAUACUAAUAUUUGAUUCACCUACAUCAGUAUUCCCUACUCUUAAAAAAUAAAUAAAACCAGUAGUGUAUAAAUAAAAAUUCUCAUUUCAUAAUUUUUUGUUUGGAUUCUACUUGAAUAGCGUAUAUUAACUUUAACAAGUGAUAAUUUCCGAAAUAAAUAAUACCAUGGCAUUUUAAUUUGAUUUGCUAUAUGGAUAUGCACCAGAUUUAUGCUUUAGUGAAACAAAAUGUAUACAGAGCUAGCCAUGACUUUUAUCUUCAAAUACAUAAAAGCUAACCAGAACUCAUGGGGGUACAGGUUGGAUAUAUAACUCCAAGUAAACAAACUAUCAAGCUUUACAGGGAGUGCAGAAUUAUUAGGCAAGUUGUAUUUUUGAGGAUUAAUUUUAU